rnacentral:misc_RNA from 1 species
AGCGCAAACUAUUUAGGCGGAGUUCUUUUUUCAUAAGACAUAGAUAUAUUAUUAAUUUCCAUUACAGCAAGAUAUCACACAAUCUCUGUCCAAGCUCACCAGUAAUUGCCUUUCAUUGCAAGAUAUCUUUGCCUUGACUCCACUAUGCUUGAGGGAGCUAUAACUUUCUUUGAUUAUAUGACUUUAGCUUAAGAGAAUCAUGUCCCAGCUUUCAUUUUUAGAUCUUAUUGCAGUAUAAUAUAUUAGUCAGCAUUUUAAGAAUCCUUCCCCCUUCCCUUUUUGAUCAACAUUAAGAGUGAAUUUCAAGUUGUUGGUUAUAAUGCUUUCUUGUGUGGAAACUGGAAAGUAGUAGUAGCAUUGAUUAGGUUUAAAAUUUGAAUUAAAGCUGAUUAAAGUGAGAAAAGAGCUACAGAAGGGAAAUUGGUGGCAGAUUUUGAAGCGGCAAACAGUGUCUGAGCUUGGUAGAGUAAG